rnacentral:miRNA from 1 species
UCCAAGAUCAAGGUGCUGGCA